CAGAAAAUAGUUAAAACAAGAAUGCUGGCUUUGGGAGCCAGUGGUGAAGGUUGAAGUCCUUCUUUUCUGA
rnacentral:tRNA from 1 species